rnacentral:rRNA from 1 species
UACAGAGGUCUCAAGCGUUGUUCGGAUUCAUUGGGCGUAAAGGGUGCGUAGGUGGCGGGGUAAGUUGGAUGUGAAAUCUCGGAGCUCAACUCCGGAACUGCAUUCAAUACUGCCUUGCUAGAGUACUGGAGAGGAGAUUGGAAUUUACGGUGUAGCAGUGAAAUGCGUAGAUAUCGUAAGGAAGACCAGUGGCGAAGGCGGAUCUCUGGACAGUUACUGACACUGAGGCACGAAGGCCAGGGGAGCAAACGGG